rnacentral:lncRNA from 1 species
GGAGUUCAGAUGAUGAUCAAUUGCAUAGUUCAAAUGAAUGUUUGUGAUUAGAAAAGUUUUAGUCUUUCCGAUGAACUCACAUUUUUUUUAUGUUUUUUAAUUUAAUAAUGAUUUAGUGGGAUAAUGACGACUCCAUGUGAUAAGGUCUCGUUCGACGUAAUGGUGAUUAACAGUCACCUUGCCGACCAUCCUGUUAUAUCACCACCCAUAAACUGAAUCC